GUUAUCUCAACCUCCGCAACAUCAACAGGUGGGCGACCAAGAAUAUCCCGGUCAGCUCGUGAAGCCGUCUCCAGGAAGAUGUUUAUCGUCUGCUGAACGACGCCAUCUGGUGGCAUGCAGUGUUUUGGCAGACGACUUCCGGUACAUCGGGGUCAUCAUGACCAGGAUCAAGAGCUGAGCUACUAAACCAUUCGAGCCUCGGUGGAGUUGGAACACAUCAUCUGACUGUAAACUACUCGCCCAAAGGAUAUGAAUCAAACAGAAAUCCUGUAGAUCUAGAAAUCCAAUAAAGAAAAUCAUCUGA
rnacentral:lncRNA from 1 species